UAUGUUUUUUGUUUCUGGUCCCGUCCGGAUCGCGUACGAUACCGUCCGUCGAACGGCAAUCGUGCCUGUACACUAUCUAUAAUACGCGACCGUUGUUACGAGAAAAAAAAUAAAUUAAACGUAUUUUUUUCUUUUUGUUUUGUUUCUAUAGCUGGCGAGCGGACCCGUACGGCGACGGUACGAAAUCUCCGCUGCGGUUUAAAGGUCGUCACCGGACGAACAAUCCCGGUCCCCGCGGACGUUGCGAAAUCGCGUUUUUGGCACGGCGCAACCCAAGACCAUUUGGUGAGUAUUAAUUAUUGUUAUUAUUUUGUAAUUAUUUGUAUAAUAUUAUAUUAGUUUGGUAGCGAUAUGUAGAGACGACGUGUUAUU